UUUUUUGCAAGAUGGUGCCACACACUCCUCAUUUGUGCGAUCAUGAUGCUUAUAGCAGGGCAUGGUGACCCCUAACUUUAUAAUUAUUCUUUUUGGAACCUGUGAGUGUGCUGGAGGGCGAGUUAUGUUGAGAACAUUUUGUCUGGCUGGUUUGGUUCCUUUACUUCCUCUUCAGUUUGCACGAUUCUGAAUUAAUUUAACAAGUCUUUUUUGCAAAAUGGGGUCGCACUUCUCAUUUGUGCGAUCAUGAAUGCUUAUAGCAGGGCAUGGUGACCCCUAACUUUAUAAUUAUUCUUUUUGGAACCUGUGACAGUGCUGUAGGGCGAGUUAUGUUGAGAACAUUUUUUCUGGCUGGUUUGGUUCCUUUACUUCCUCAGUUUGCGCGAUUCUGAAUUAAUUUAACAAGUCUUUUUUGCAAAAUGGGGUCACACUUCUCAUUUGUGCGAUCAUGAAUGCUUAUAGCAGGGCAUGGUGACCCCUAACUUUAUAAUUAUUCUUUUUGGAACAUGUGACAGUGCUGGAGGGCGAGUUAUGUUGAGAACAUUUUUUCUGGCUGGUUUGGUACCUUUACUUCCUCUUCAGUUUGCGCGAUUCUGAAUUAAUUUAACAAGUCUUUUUUGCAAAAUGGGGUCGCACUUCUCAUUUGUGCGAUCAUGAUGCUUAUAGCAGGGCAUGGUGACCCCUAACUUUAUAAUCAAUCUUUUUGGAACCUGUGACAGUGCUGGAGGGCGAGUUAUGUGAGAAAAUUGUCUGGCUGGUUUGGUUCCUUUACUUCCUCUGCAGUUUGCGCGAUUCUGAAUUAAUUUAACAAGUCUUUUUUGCAAGAUGGUGCCACACACUCCUCAUUUGUGCGAUCAUGAUGCUUAUAGCAGGGCAUGGUGACCCCUAACUUUAUAAUUAUUCUUUUUGGAACCUGUGAGUGUGCUGGAGGGCGAGUUAUGUUGAGAACAUUUUGUCUGGCUGGUUUGGUUCCUUUACUUCCUCUUCAGUUUGCACGAUUCUGAAUUAAUUUAACAAGUCUUUUUUGCAAAAUGGGGUCGCACUUCUCAUUUGUGCGAUCAUGAAUGCUUAUAGCAGGGCAUGGUGACCCCUAACUUUAUAAUUAUUCUUUUUGGAACCUGUGACAGUGCUGUAGGGCGAGUUAUGUUGAGAACAUUUUUUCUGGCUGGUUUGGUUCCUUUACUUCCUCAGUUUGCGCGAUUCUGAAUUAAUUUAACAAGUCUUUUUUGCAAAAUGGGGUCACACUUCUCAUUUGUGCGAUCAUGAAUGCUUAUAGCAGGGCAUGGUGACCCCUAACUUUAUAAUUAUUCUUUUUGGAACAUGUGACAGUGCUGGAGGGCGAGUUAUGUUGAGAACAUUUUUUCUGGCUGGUUUGGUACCUUUACUUCCUCUUCAGUUUGCGCGAUUCUGAAUUAAUUUAACAAGUCUUUUUUGCAAAAUGGGGUCGCACUUCUCAUUUGUGCGAUCAUGAUGCUUAUAGCAGGGCAUGGUGACCCCUAACUUUAUAAUCAAUCUUUUUGGAACCUGUGACAGUGCUGGAGGGCGAGUUAUGUGAGAAAAUUGUCUGGCUGGUUUGGUUCCUUUACUUCCUCUGCAGUUUGCGCGAUUCUGAAUUAAUUUAACAAGUUUUUUUUGCAAGAUGGUGCCACACACUCCUCAUUUGUGCGACCAUGAUGCUUAUAGCAGGGCAUGGUGGCAUGGUGACCCCUAACUUUAUAAUUAUUCUUUUUGGAACCUGUGAGUGUGCUGGAGGGCGAGUUAUGUUGAGAACAUUUUGUCUGGCUGGUUUGGUUCCUUUACUUCCUCUUCAGUUUGCACGAUUCUGAAUUAAUUUAACAAGUCUUUUUUGCAAAAUGGGGUCGCACUUCUCAUUUGUGCGAUCAUGAAUGCUUAUAGCAGGGCAUGGUGACCCCUAACUUUAUAAUUAUUCUUUUUGGAACCUGUGACAGUGCUGUAGGGCGAGUUAUGUCGAGAACAUUUUUUCUGGCUGGUUUGGUUCCUUUACUUCCUCUUCAGUUUGCGCGAUUCUGAAUUAAUUUAACAAGUCAUUUUUGCAAGAUGGUGUCACACUUCUCAUUUGUGCAUCAUGAUGCUUAUAGCAGGGCAUGGUGACCCCUAACUUUAUAAUUAAUCUUUUUGGAACCUGUGACAGUGCUGGAGGGCGAGUUAUGUUGAGAACAUUUUGUCUGGCUGGUUUGGUUUCUUUACUUCCUCAGUUUGUGCGAUUCUGAAUUAAUUUAACAAGUCUUUUUUGCAAAAUGGUGCCUCACACUCCUCAUUUGUGCGAUCAUGAUGCUUAUAGCAGGGCAUGGUGGCCCCUAACUUUAUAAUUAUUCUUUUUGGAACCUGUGACAGUGCUGGAGGGCGAGUUAUGUUGAGAACAUUUUGUCUGGCUGGUUUGGUUCCUUUACUUCCUCAGUUUGCGCGAUUCUGAAUUAAUUUAACAAGUCUUUUUUGCAA
rnacentral:lncRNA from 1 species